GUGGAUUAGAUACCCGGGUAGUCCUAGCCGUAAACGGUGAGCACUAGGUGUUGGAGGCAUCGACCCCUCCAGUGCCGCAGCUAACGCAUUAAGUGCUCCGCCUGGGGAGUACGGCCGCAAGGUUGAAACUCAAAGGAAUUGACGGGGGCCCGCACAAGCGGUGGAGCAUGUGGUUUAAUUCGACGCAACGCGAAGAACCUUACCCAGGCUUGACAUGCAUCGGACUGGUGUGGAAACACACCUUUCCUUCGGGACCGAUGCACAGGUGCUGCACGGCUGUCGACAGCU
rnacentral:rRNA from 1 species